UACGAAGGGGGCUAGCGUUGCUCGGAAUCACUGGGCGUAAAGCGCACGUAGGCGGGUCCUUAAGUCAGGGGUGAAAUCCCGGAGCUCAACUCCGGAACUGCCUUUGAUACUGGGGAUCUUGAGUACAGAUGAGGCUGGCGGAAUGGGUGGUGUAGCGGUGAAAUGCAUAGAUACCAUCCAGAACACCGAUUGCGAAGGCAGCCGGCUAAACUGUCACUGACGCUGAGGCACGAAAGCGUGGGGAUCGAACAGG
rnacentral:rRNA from 1 species